CUGAUGCCUCAGAUAAAGGAAUCUUUGCCAGUAUUAGCCAGUGGUCUGGACAACCACAAUAUUCCUACCUCCAAAUUUGGACUGGACUCUCGCAACGUCUGCCAGGUUCCUGAGCCUAAGAUGACCUACACCUAUUGACUUCCCAUUUGCCAUCAAUACCUCCACACCAAACCAACAUCUUUAAACCUAUCCUGGGAGUUAGUAUGGGGUUCGAAGUCUACACUAGAUACUUAUCAUACUAGAGUCGAGCCAGCAGUGUGUUGUGUUGUGAUGGUGAACAUUAAUGUGCUACGUAGUGGGACAACAAGGUGGAGAAUGAUUAUUUAAGUAAUAUAACAAUUCUGUUGUAAAACGUGUAACUACAAGGAUAUUACUUCAUCAAUUUGUCAUCAUACAGUCUAUUCAUCUCAUUAAACAUUUAUAUUGUUAA
rnacentral:sRNA from 1 species